GUCUCUAGUGCAUUUGAUGCUUGGAUCAUUGGUGAGGCUUGUGACUGCACUGAUAGCUCGGCCGGCAGCCACCAUCACAACCUUGCUCUACCACAGCGAUCUUCUCCCCCGAAAUUUCGACUCAGAGCGAUUACAGCGAUUGGUUCGACGUGAGUACCUUCUUGUUCAAGAAAAUUACCUUUUUAGUUCUCUCAUCAACGUUUUGAGAUGCUUUUGGUAG
rnacentral:lncRNA from 1 species